AGUGAACGCUGGCGGUAGACCUAACACAUGCAAGUCGAACGGCAGCACAGUAAGAGCUUGCUCUUACGGGUGGCGAGUGGCGGACGGGUGAGGAAUACAUCGGAAUCUACUUUUUCGUGGGGGAUAACGUAGGGAAACUUACGCUAAUACCGCAUACGACCUACGGGUGAAAGCAGGGGAUCUUCGGACCUUGCGCGAUUGAAUGAGCCGAUGUCGGAUUAGCUAGUUGGCGGGGUAAAGGCCCACCAAGGCGACGAUCCGUAGCUGGUCUGAGAGGAUGAUCAGCCACACUGGAACUGAGACACGGUCCAGACUCCUACGGGAGGCAGCAGUGGGGAAUAUUGGACAAUGGGCGCAAGCCUGAUCCAGCCAUACCGCGUGGGUGAAGAAGGCCUUCGGGUUGUAAAGCCCUUUUGUCGGGAAAGAAAAGCAGCAGGUUAAUACCCCGCUGUUCUGACGGUACCCAAAGAAUAAGCACCGGCUAACUUCGUG
rnacentral:rRNA from 1 species